AAACAAAGCUGUAAAGUGACAAGUAAGAUACACUGUUAAACAUCAACACAGGAUAGACUCUCAAACAGUCACCACUUUUAAACAAAUCGAAAGAGAGGGAUGGUAUACGGCUGAUUUAACGGAAUGACAUUCACAACCACAUUAAAGGAACCCUGCUCAGGUUCUCUGAUGAGUCAAAACACCUCUGGCUAUUAUUUCAACAGAGUUUUGAACAGCGUACAGUUUCAACAGCCCUGCAUUCCACCAGUUCCUUGUGUAAAUAUCUGGUGUCGAUGUCUCUCAUUGAGAAGGGAGGAGUGGCCUGGCAAGAGGAGAGAGUGCACCACAGCGAGUCCCAGAAGCAGCACGUGGGAGCCACAGAGGACGGACUCAAGCCAUGCAGUUGCCUCCCUGGGUUACAGCUGAGGAAAUCCACAGGGAGCCUGAGGCUCAGCGUCUUCCAAUUUUCACUACAUCACCAAGACAAUAAUCAAUUGAGCCAGGAGCAGACACACAGGAAGGCCUCAAUACCACAGCAUAACUCACAUGGAUUGAGACUGAAUGGUGAGGUGAGUCAGGGGUGAGAGAUGAUGGGUGUGUGAGCGGAAAUGGUUUUCUCCAUUCGUUUGAUGCAUUAAUGAAUGGUUAAUUAUUUAUUUAUUUGCUAUAGUGUAAUUCUCUGCCAGGAUGUCUCCAAAUGAAACACCUCAUCGAGUGUUAUGAUACUAAAAUAUACAGUGGGUAUAGAAUAGUAUCACCCCCUUUACAAUAAUCACAUUUUGCUGCCUGAAAUGAAGACGAACACAGUUUUUGUUUUAUCCAGCUUUAUUUACUCUUUGCAACUUAUAACAUCCAAGUGAAAGACAAAACCAAAAUGUCAGGAAAAAACAAACAAACAAACCAAAAAAAAAAAAAAACAAUCACUGAGUUGCAAAAAGUGUCAGUAUUUUGUUGAACCACCUUUUGCUUCAUUUACAUGAGACGCUACUAACUUUGCACAUCUAGACUUCGCAGUAUUUGUCUACUCGUCUUGCUGCUCAAGUUCAGUUCAAUUUGAUGCUGAAGAUUGGUGGACUGCAGUCAUUCCACAGAUUUUCAGUGGGGUUUAAGUCUGGGAUCUGGCCAUGCAAGGACAUUCACCUUUUUCUUCUUCAACCACAGUGUGAUCAGUUUUGCUGUGUGCUUUUUUUAUUUUGCCCAUAGGUCUUCAACCCUGCUCCUGGGGACCCACUGUCCUGCAAAGUUUAUUUCCAACCUGCUUCAGCACACCUGGCCUGUGACUUUACAAGUGAUCCUUAAAGACGCAAUUGUAUGACGUUAUCGUAUGUCCCAAAGCUUGCCUACUCUUCUACUACACACUCAAAAAUGUGUACUUUUUCUUCACCAAAAAAGUACAUACUUUAAGAGCGUAGUAUAAGUAGGCACAUUGAGACGCAGGGCAGGAAAGCUCAUUUUAUGCUGAGCUGACCACAGCUGAACAUCAUAUGGCUUUGUGUGCCAUUGAGAAGGUGAUUAGCUACACCUGACUGAGUUUACAAGUCAUUUUUAGGAUGGGGGUGGGGGUUCUGACAUGUUGGUGUUAUAUCUUUCACUUGGAUAUUAUAAGUUGCACUGAGUAAAUACAGCUGGAUAAAACAAAAACUGUGUCCAUAUUCAUUUCAGGCUGCAAAGCAACAAAAUGUGAUUAUUUUAAAGGGGGUGAUUCUUUUCUAUGCCCACUAUAUAAAUACUGUAUUUUCUUUAAUAUAUAGUAAGUCACAAUUUUUUUAAUCAUCUGAAACGUGCUGCAAAACAUUUUCCAAAGCAGUUAUAAAACAUCAAGCACGCCAAACAUGCCAAAAACUGCAUACAUCUGAAUCUGUGAAGAAUGAGCAAAGUAGUCAUAUUUUUCCUUUAAAUAAAUGUAAGCUGUUUGUUUUAUACUUACA
ensembl:lncRNA